AUUACAGGUGCCCACCACCACACCCGGCUAAUUUUUAUAUUUUAUUAGAGAAGGAGUUUCAUCAUGUUGGCGAGGCUGGUCUUGAACUCCUGACCUCGUGAUCCGCCUGCCUCGGCCUCCUAAAUGCUGGGAUUACAGGUGUGAGCCAGGCGGGAAGUGCCCUUUCAGGGACUCUGGACUUGUGACAGUCCCUGUUUCCCCGUUUCCUUCCUUUUCACCCAAUAAAACCCUGCCUUACUCACCAUUCAAAUUAACUUCAAGCCUGAAUUUUUGUGGAUGUCUAUCUUUAGCUGAACUAAGGACAAAGGACCCCCAUCUUUAGCUGAACUAAGGAAAAGUCCUGCAACAUUUUUGGUGCUCAACAUAGGGCUCCAGAAGCGAUUAUUCAAGUGGCAAUUCAAGUGGGCAAUUAAUGUAUUAUCUUACGGAAUUAGACAUAGUCUGCACAUAAUCAAGACACUCGAAUACUAGGUAAUGUUCCCCUUGCCUCUGCCCCAAUUGCUAAAGAUGAUAUUUGGCAAUUUAUAGCAAUGUAUAGAUAUUUAAUAUAUCUAUACAGCAGUUUAUCAACAUUUGUGUUGUUUCUACUUUGGGACUAUUAUAAUAAAUCUGCUAUGAAUAUUUGUGUGCAAGUUUUUAUGUGAACAAAUACUUUUAUUUUUCUUGGUUUUAUGCCCAGGAGUGGAAUUCAGGGUCACUUUGUAAUUCUAUAUUUAACCUUGUAAGGAGCUUCCAGUUCAUUUUCCAAAGAGGCUGAAACAUUUUACAUUCCCACCAGCAAAGUGUAAGAGUUAUGAUUUUUCCACAUUUUUACCAACACAUUAUUAUCUUUUUAUUAUAGUUAUGCUGGUGAAGACAUCACACACUAUGGUUUCAAUUUGAAUUCCC
rnacentral:lncRNA from 1 species